GACGAACGCUGGCGGCGUGCCUAAUACAUGCAAGUUGAGCGCUGAAGGUUGGUACUUGUACCAACUGGAUGAGCAGCGAACGGGUGAGUAACGCGUGGGGAAUCUGCCUUUGAGCGGGGGACAACAUUUGGAAACGAAUGCUAAUACCGCAUAAAAACUUUAAACACAAGUUUUAAGUUUGAAAGAUGCAAUUGCAUCACUCAAAGAUGAUCCCGCGUUGUAUUAGCUAGUUGGUGAGGUAAAGGCUCACCAAGGCGAUGAUACAUAGCCGACCUGAGAGGGUGAUCGGCCACAUUGGGACUGAGACACGGCCCAAACGCCUACGGGAGGCAGCAGUAGGGAAACUUCGGCCAUGGACGAAAGUCUGACCGAGCAACGCCGCGUGAGGGAAGAAGGUUGUCGGAUCGUAAAACUCGGUUGGUAGAGAAGAACGUUGGUGAGAGUGGAAAGCUCAUCAAGUGACGGUAACUACCCAGAAAGGGACGGCUAACUACGUG
rnacentral:rRNA from 1 species